GAUGAAGAACGUAGCGAAAUGCGAUACUUGGUGUGAAUUGCAGAAUCCCGUGAACCAUCGAGUCUUUGAACGCAAGUUGCGCCCGAAGCCAUCAGGUUGAGGGCACGUCUGCCUGGGCGUCACAUAUCGUUGCCCAAUGCCUAUUGCAGUGCAAUAGGAAUUUCUAGGGCGAAUGAUGGCUUCCCGUGAGCGUUGUUGCCUCGCGGUUGGUUGAAAAUCGAGUCCUUGGUAGGGUGUGCCAUGGUAGAUGGUGGUCGAGUUAGAACGAUACCGAUCAUGUGCAUGCUCCCCAAAAUAUGGCCUCUAUGACCCACACGCGUCUUUUGACGCACAUGACGAGACCUCAGGUCAGGCGGGGCUACCCGCUGAAUUUAAGCAUAUCAAUAAGCGAGGA
rnacentral:misc_RNA from 1 species